CUACGGGGUGCAGCAGUGAGGAAUAUUGCACAAUGGGGGGAACCCUGAUGCAGCAACGCCGCGUGGAGGAUGGCGCAUUUCGGUGUGUAAACUCCUUUUAUAUGUCAAGAAAAUGACGGUAGCAUAUGAAUAAGCACCGGCUAACUCCGUGCCAGCAGCCGCGGUAAUACGGAGGGUGCAAGCGUUACUCGGAAUCACUGGGCGUAAAGGACGCGUAGGCGGGUUGGAAAGUCAGGUGUGAAAUCCUACAGCUUAACUGUAGAACUGCACUUGAAACUUCUAAUCUAGAGUAUGGGAGGGGGAGAUGGAAUUAGUGGUGUAGGGGUAAAAGCCGUAGAUAUCACUAGGAAUACCUAAAGCGAAGGCGAUCUCCUGGAACAUUACUGACGCUAAGGCGUGAAAGCGUGGGGAGCAAACAGGAUUAGAUACCCCCGUAGUC
rnacentral:rRNA from 1 species